CAAACCAAAACAUAUACCAAUAAAGAAAACAGAUGAAUACAGAUUCUAGAAGAAACAAAUUACCUUCUACUGUGGCUCUGAGUAGUACCACAAGUGUUGGGAGGAUAGAAACGAAAAACUGUCUCCACAGAUACACGUUGUCGAGAUCAAUUCCUGAAACCACAACACACAAAAAAAAAGAAAUGUAGAAAUUAGCUAAAGUAGAAGAGAAUCUCAUAAGCUAAUGAAGCUUCACACUCACCAACUGACUUGAUAACUUCAUCUCCACAUUCAAGAAUCUGAGCUGCUCCUUUGAAGUUAUUUAGAAACUCAAAGUCAGAGUCUUCCUCCAAUGUCUCAGCAGCCCCUCCCACAAAAGGUGCCUAAUCAAAUUAAUAAACACUCAUCAAGAACAAAUCCUUGAUAAAUCGAUUCUAUACGCAAUUAGUAGAGAACAAAACCAUGUCAAUCGAUCCUUGAUAAACACUAAUCAGCUACUAAGCAAGACCCUAUGAUCUCAAUGAUGCAUGCAACAACAAUACAAGUCUAGACACUGAUCAAGAACAUUCCUUUCUUAGAGUCAUUCGAUAUACAACAAACACAGCUUCUAAGCAAUAUCCUAAACGAUUUCAAUUAAAACAAAAUGUUGAGAGUUUUCUUCACUUACAAGGUCGAAGUUAUCGAGAUAUGAUCACUGCUUUGUCUUUCAAUCCAUCUUCUACAUCUUCUCUUUCUCUAUCUUUCCUUCUUCUUUCAGUCUUUCGGUGAAACAAAACAGAAUCGUCGUUGAUUCCAGAGACAGAAGAUUGAGUUAUCGAGAUUGGAUCGCCUCUUCGAUAUCGAACGAAGAUCGAGAGAAGAAUCGCCAGAGAGUUUUUGUAAUCGAGAUGGAGGAGGAAGAGACAGAAUGAUUAGUGUUUGAACCGAAAAUGGUGUUUUGUCGGAUUCAAACAAUGAGGGUUAAAGAGAAAUCAACGUAGAAAUCAAAUGAAAAAUAAACAUUAAAAAGAGUUUAUUGAUCAAAGAUUGUAUUACAUGUAUGAUUACAAGUGUAAAGUAAAUCUUAUAAUCCAUAAACUCUUUGUAAAAUGUGUUCUAGAUCUAAAAUGGAAAAAGAGAGCUCCCUCGUUAAAGAGAUUUGUCUCUUUAUAUAUACAAAGAAGAAGCUAGGGCUUCCAAUUAAAAUGGGUCUAGUUUAUUGUCUAAUGGGUCUUGAGGGAGGAUGCAAAUCUACCCCCAACAGUAAGCCCUCCAAGUUCGUAGAGAGAGAUGAACUCGAUCUCUAUGAAUUUUACGAAUAGGGUUUAUUAGACAAUUAACUAGACACAUUCAUGCAUAUGAUGAUUUAGGCGAGUUUACUUUGAACUUGUGCCUAGUAAAAGGCGAGUUUGCUUUAAACUCGUGCUUAGCGAAAGACAAGUUUACUGGACUCACGCUGAGACAAAAGCGAGUUUACUGAGAACUCGUGCCUAGUAGAAUGAGAGUUUCUGUAAACUCAUGCCUAGCCAAAGACGAGUCUUUGUAAACUCGUGUCUAACAAUAAGCGAAUCGACUGUAAACUCGUACUAAAUAACAAGCAAGUUCAAUUUAAACUCGUGCCUAAAAUACAAAUUUACCGAACUGUUGCCGACCAAAGUCUUGUGUUGAGAUCGUGUGUGCUGAGCAAGUUGUUGGUUUGUAUGUUCGUCAGGCUGUGAUGAUGUUGAGAAACGUUCUGGCUUGUGCCGCUUGUACCGCUUCCGACAUGAGGACCGUCUUUCGAAGCAUGAGGACAUGAUGAUGGCAGCCACUUGUCUUUGGCUCAACGAUCGCUGGCUCACAAAAAGCAUGAUCAUGAUUAGAUCAAUAUAAACCAAAAAACAUAACCAACUUUGCAUAAUUAAUAAGAAAGCGAUCAGACUUGUUUUGCUUAAUGCUUGUGAUUAACAUGAUGAUAUAUUAAUUAUCAACUUAUUAAUAUCAUAAGUUAUCAACAGUAAAGCAAAUAACAAGAGUCACCUCAUAAAAUUCAUACGAGAAUGAGUUGCUUAGACUUUUUUAAUAAUUCAAAACACAUCUAUAAUGUCUACCAUGACACAUGUGUGUAAUUUAAAAGUCAUUAAAGCAUAUAAUAAUUUUAUAAAAUAACUUAUCUUUGCGGUGGGUGGUCGUGAUGAGAUUUUUUUUCUUCAGGGACGGAUGAUCUUAUGGAUUUGAAGUUGCUGACGAUGUAUAGAGAUGCAGGCGAAACCAUGUCGCAUACGUCUACCGUGAUGGAGCUUGAAGACGCUGGGCCUUCUUUGCGUUUUUGAUGAAGAAGUUGAAGGCGCUCUGUUUUUAGGAGUUGUAACAGAGCCGAGGACGAGAUGGAGGGACUGCUGAGAGCAAAACACUCAGACUCGUGAUGCGCUCAAGUGAACAUCUCCUAUUUGUAUCUCUUUUGUGAACAUCUCCUUAGUUGUGCCUGACGUGCUUGUAAGAAGACAAAGCCUCACAUGCCGUUGCGGAGAGAAGUUGAAGCUAGUACUUGUGGCGAACUUCAGGAGGAAGGUAAGGUCAAGUUGACCUUAAAACUUAUCGUGCCGAGAAGGAAAGCCAACAGAGUGCCAAAAUCAACUUGUGAGUGACAGAGAUGCGAUGCUUCCCGAUACGAUCGCGUCCUGAAGUGAUGGAGCUUGAAUCAGAGCUUGAAGCCAGAAGAAAGCUUCUAGCGGUGGAGUUGUCUGUCGAAAACGUGGACAGUGCUCGUGCCAAGCAAGUGAAGCCACCACCAGCACAAGAAUAGCACCAGAACUGUGACGUUCCUGGUCGGUGAUAACAUCUCCAGUGGUGCUAUUGUAGUGGUCUGGCCUUGAACUUGGAGCAGUGCCGUGGAGAGGCUGCUUUAAGUUCGUCUAAGAUCUCGUGGAAUCAUUCCCCUGUUUCCCAAGCUCAAGACUUUACACGACUAUGUUUCCAGUAGAGCUCUCCGUUUUUUGAGUUCCCGGACGAGGUGAUUGAGCACGUCUUCGACUUCAUAGCUUCUCACAAAGACAUGAACUUGAUCUCUCUCGUAAGAAAGCCAUGGCACAAGGUCAAGAGGCGUAGCAGGAAGAGAGGUUCCCAUCUCUCAAAGACAUGACAGAGGCCUUAUCGGAAUAAAACGAACUCGCCGGAGAAACAACCAGCGCAGGUGCCGUCGCGGUGGUGCCAUUGGAGGAAGGAGGAGAAGCAGCACAAUUAUAAGCUCUCUGAAUCAACACGUUGAAAAGCUUCUGCGGAACCUCGGAUAAAUAAAUAUUUUUCGUAGGUUGAGUUUAGUGAAUUUCUAUAUGUUCUAUUUGAUAUACACUUCUCCGCAAAUAUUGUUAUAAUGAUGAGUAGUUCAGCAAAUUCUUUGUUCUUUUCUUGUUAUAAUGGUUCUUUAUACUUUGUAGCAUAUAUUGUGAAAUGUGGC